AGUGGGUGCGAGCAUCGUGUGGUCAAGUUACUAAGGGCACACGGUGGAUGCCUUGGCACCAGGAGCCGAUGAAGGACGUGGGAGCCUGCGAUAAGCCUCGGGGAGCCGGCUACCAGGCGUUGAUCCGGGGAUUUCCGAAUGGGGGAACCUGGCCCGAGUUGUGUCGGGUCGCCGCCGUCUGAACGCAUAGGACGGUUGGUGGGAACGCGGGGAAGUGAAACAUCUCAGUACCCGCAGGAAGAGAAAGCAAUCGCGAUUCCCUGAGUAGUGGUGAGCGAAAGGGGAAGAGGCUAAACCGGUGGCGUGUUAAAGCCGGCAGGCGUUGCGUUACCGGGGUUGUGGGACGCUCCUUUGCAGUCUCUGCCGGGGCUGCGGGCAGUGAGAAAUCGGUGGGAUAGCCGAACGCUCUGGAAUGGGCGGCCGUAGACCGUGAGAGCCGGGUAGGCGAAAUCUUGCCGACUGCCUGGGGGUGUUCCCGAGUAGCACGGGGCCCGAGGAAUCCUGUGCGAAUCUGCCAGGACCACCUGGUAAGCCUAAAUACUCCCUGGUGACCGAUAGUGGACGAGUACCGUGAGGGAAAGGUGAAAAGCGCCCCGGUGAGGGGUUGUGAAAUAGUACCUGAAACCGUGUGCCUACAAGCCGUGGGAGCUUGGCAGCGCCCUUUGGGUGUUGUCGUGAUGUGACCGCGUGCCUUUUGAAGAAUGAGCCUGCGAGUUGACGUGCGUGGCGAGGUUAACCCGUGUGGGGGAGCCGUAGCGAAAGCGAGUCUGAAUAGGGCGUUGAGUCGCGUGCGUCAGACCCGAAGCCGGGUGAUCUACCCGUGGGCAGGGUGAAGCUCAGGUAAGACUGGGUGGAGGCCCGAACCCACCAGGGUUGCAAACCUGGGGGAUGACCUGCGGGUAGCGGUGAAAAGCCAAUCGAACUCGGUGAUAGCUGGUUCUCCCCGAAAUGCAUUUAGGUGCAGCGUCACGUGGUCCUUGCCGGAGGUAGAGCACUGGUUGGCCGAUGGGCCCUCACAGGUUACUGAGGUCAGCCAAACUCCGAAUGCCGGUAAGUGUGAGCGUGGCAGUGAGACCGCGGGGGAUAAGCUUCGUGGUCGAGAGGGAAACAGCCCAGAUCACCGGCUAAGGCCCCGAAGCGUGUGCUGAGUGGGAAAGGAUGUGAAGCCGCUGUGACAGCCAGGAGGUUGGCUUAGAAGCAGCCAUCCUCUAAGGAGUGCGUAAUAGCUCACUGGUCUAGUGGUUUUGCGCCGACAAUGUAGCGGGGCUCAAGCACACCGCCGAAGCCGUGGCGUCUUCCGCGUGUGCGGGGGACGGGUAGGGGAGCGUCGUGCGGCGGGUGAAGCGGCGGGGUGACCCAGCCGUGGACGCCGUGCGAGUGAGAAUGCAGGCAUGAGUAGCGUUUCAGAAGUGAGAAACUUCUGCGCCGGAUGACCAAGGGUUCCUGGGGCAGGUUGAUCCGCCCAGGGUAAGUCGGGACCUAAGGCGAGGCCGAUAGGCGUAGUCGAUGGGCAACGGGUUGAUAUUCCCGUACCCGCCGUGGCGCGUUCUGCCGCUUCGGUGGCAGGUAAGCGAUGGGGGGACGCAGGAAGGUAGCCCAUCCCAGGCGGUGGUUGUCCUGGGGUAAGCAUGUAGGGUGCGGGGUAGGCAAAUCCGCCCCGUGUUAAGCCCGAGAUGCGAUGCCGAGCCGAUUGUGGCGAAGUGGGUGAUCCUCUACUGCCGAGAAAAGCCUCUAGCGAGCGCUAUGGCGGCCCGUACCCUAAACCGACUCUGGUGGUCAGGUAGAGAAUACCGAGGCGUUCGGGCGAACCGCGGUUAAGGAACUAGGCAAAUUGCCCCCGUAACUUCGGGAGAAGGGGGGCCUCUGCUGGUGUAGGCACGUGCUGCCGAAGCUGGUGGGGGCCGCAGAGAAUAGGCCCAGGCGACUGUUUACUAAAAACACAGGUCCGUGCGAAGUCGUAAGACGAAGUAUACGGACUGACGCCUGCCCGGUGCCGGAACGUUAAGGGGACGGGUUAGCGGCCUUUCGGGGUUGCGAAGCUCGGAACCUAAGCGCCGGUAAACGGCGGUGGUAACUAUAACCAUCCUAAGGUAGCGAAAUUCCUUGUCGGGUAAGUUCCGACCUGCACGAAUGGCGUAACGGUCUGGGCACUGUCUCAACCGCGGACCCGGCGAAAUUGCACUACGAGUAAAGAUGCUCGUUACGCGCAGCAGGACGGAAAGACCCCGGGACCUUCACUGCAGCUUGGCAUUGGCGUUUGGAAUGGCUUGUGUAGGAUAGGUGGGAGACUGUGAAGCGGGCACGCCAGUGUCCGUGGAGUCGCCGUUGAAAUACCACUCUGGCUGUUUCGAACGUCUAACCCGGGUCCCUUAUCGGGAUCGGGGACAGUGCCUGGUGGGUAGUUUGACUGGGGCGGUUGCCUCCUAAAGGGUAACGGAGGCGCCCAAAGGUCCCCUCAGCCUGGUUGGAAAUCAGGCGUUGAGUGUAAGGGCACAAGGGGGCUUAACUGUGAGACCGACGGGUCGAGCAGAUGCGAAAGCAGGGCCUAGUGAUCCGGCGGUGGCGAGUGGAAGCGCCGUCGCUCAACGGCUAAAAGGUACCCCGGGGAUAACAGGCUGAUCAUCCCCAAGAGUCCAUAUCGACGGGAUGGUUUGGCACCUCGAUGUCGGCUCGUCGCAUCCUGGGGCUGGAGUAGGUCCCAAGGGUUGGGCUGUUCGCCCAUUAAAGCGGUACGCGAGCUGGGUUUAGAACGUCGCGAGACAGUUCGGUCCCUAUCCGCUGCGCGCGUAGGAGACUUGAGGGGGGCUGUUCCUAGUACGAGAGGACCGGAACGGACGAACCUCUGGUGUGCCAGUUGUGCCGCCAGGUGCACGGCUGGUUGGCUACGUUCGGUUGGGAUAACCGCUGAAAGCAUCUAAGCGGGAAGCCCGCCCCGAGAUGAGGUCUCCCUCCGGGUUAACCGGGUAAGGCUCCCAGUAGAUGACUGGGUUGAUAGGCCGGUGGUGGAAGCGCGGUAACGUGUGGAGCCGACCGGUACUAAUAAGCCGAGAGGCUUGACUUCAC
rnacentral:rRNA from 1 species